AAUGGGCGAAAGCCUGAUCCAGCCAUGCCGCGUGGAUGAAGAAGGCCUUAGGGUUGUAAAGUCCUUUCGAUGGUGAAGAUAAUGACGGUAACCAUAGAAGAAGCCCCGGCUAAUUUCGUGCCAGCAGCCGCGGUAAUACGAAAGGGGCUAGCGUUGUUCGGAAUUACUGGGCGUAAAGCGCACGUAGGCGGCAAUGUAAGUUGGGGGUGAAAUCCCGGGGCUCAACCCCGGAACUGCCUCCAAAACUACAUAGCUAGAGGAUGUGAGAGGAUAGUGGAAUUCCGAGUGUAGAGGUGAAAUUCGUAGAUAUUCGGAAGAACACCAGUGGCGAAGGCGACUGUCUGGCUCAUUUCUGACGCUGAGGUGCGAAAGCGUGGGGAGCGAACAGGAUU
rnacentral:rRNA from 1 species